GGGUCAGUAGGUUGGUCGUGCCACCGGUACGUACUGGUCUCACUGAUUCCUCCUUCCUGAAGAACCGUAACGCCAUUAAUUUGGUGUUGCGGGGAAACAGGACUGUUACUUUGAAAAAAUUAGGGUGUUUAAAGCAAGCUAACGCUUGAAUACAUUAGCAUGGAAUAAUGAAAUAGGACGAUCGAUCCUAUUUUGUUGGUUUCUAGGAUUGACGUA
rnacentral:rRNA from 1 species